rnacentral:rRNA from 1 species
GUGCCAGCAGCCGCGGUAAUACAGAGGUCCCAAGCGUUGUUCGGAUUCAUUGGGCGUAAAGGGUGCGUAGGCGGUGGGGUAAGUUGGAUGUGAAAUCUUGAGGCUUAACCUCAAAAUUGCAUUCAAUACUGCUCCGCUCGAGUUCUGUAGAGGAGAUUGGAAUUUACGGUGUAGCAGUGAAAUGCGUAGAUAUCGUAAGGAACGCCAGUGGCGAAAGCGAAUCUCUGGGCAGCAACUGACGCUGAGGCACGAAGGCCAGGGGAGCAAACGGGAUUAGAUACCCCGGUAGUCC